ensembl:lncRNA
GGAGCCAUAGCUUGCUACAGGAAGGUUUCCCAGCCUGGGCUGCAGAUAGGGUUGUAGAGCAUGCCAUAAUCCUUCUUAUAAGACACAGUUAGAGCUAGUUUCUUAUAUGGAGAUGAAGAAGAAUGACUUGGGAGUGCCUGUAGAGGGUGUAAUUUUACCCAUCCCUUGAAUAAUAUAUCAGAGAGCAGAGGUGAACCUCCUCUUCUAGCAGCAGCACUGUUUUAGGUGCCAUCAAUGACAUCCUUGUCAGCCAGAUAUGUGUACUGACUGCUACACUUCCUAAAAUGCUGUUGACUUUGCUGAUGGUUCAAAGUGUGGGGAAGUUUUAUAGGCUUCAGAUCUGGAUGCUUAUCAAAGCCUGCCUGCUCUCCUGCAGUACAAGAAGACCUGUACGUGAUCUUCUGCUCCUCCCGUGCCCUGCCACAUUAAACCAUUUAUGUAGAAAGUAAGCAGUCUGGGUUUGUCCUUACGACUUCACUGGAAUCAGUUGCUUAUUCCUGUCAUAGUUCUGCCAGCAAGUGCUUCAACGAAAGAAACAACAAAGUACCCACUGCAGUUGCUACAUUUUACUGCCAAGUUGUAAAAGAAAUCACAUUCUCAUUUUAGGUAAAUGGUCAGAUAUAUGAAUGCUGAAAGCUCUCUACUGUCAUCCUGCGAUGUGCCGCAGCACCCAGAGGGAGGAGUGAGCCUGGAGACCACCUCUUUCACAGCAGUGAGCUCCUGGUGCCACAGCGAUGGCUGUAUGUACAAAAGCUGUUGGUAUGGUGCUGUCUCUGACCAGAACAGCAAGCCAUGCCCAGCUGGGGGAGAGAAGCACAUCUUUGAACCAACCUUCUCUUUCUUUCUCCCAGCACUGACUUCCAUGGGCUGCAAAGAGAAGCAUUUCUCCCUCACUUCACCAGUGCUGUGUGAAAUGCCCUCUAAAUGCUAAUUUCAUUUCACUUCUACAACAGUAGAAAUAAAUACAGCACAAAUCUUCCUUCUCUGCAGUGCUUUUUUUCUUGACUGCUGUAUCUAAAUGUCCCUUCAAUCUAGUAUCUCUUAAUAGUUCAGUAAAGAAUUACUCAUGGGACUAUCCUUUUUUUUUUUUUUUUUUUGCCUUGAAGGCAGUCCCUAUUACUCCACAGUAUGGAAACCAACUGGGAAAGUAAUCUAUGCAAAUUACAUGUACUUUUCGGGUUGAAUCGCAUUCCCUUCGCUCAUGGUAAUGAGUCACUUGGCAUGAAGUGGACUUACAGUGAAUGGAGAGAGCAUAUAAGGGCGCUGCUUCUCAAGAAUUACUUCUACUUGCUGAAUCUCAUUUAGGCCUGGAACCAUGAGGGGUGAGGCUCUGCU